rnacentral:tRNA from 1 species
AUCUCCCUAUUAUAAAGAGUAAGUCUAAUUUCCAAUUAGAAAGUCCCAAAUGGGGGGGGAUA